rnacentral:lncRNA from 1 species
UACUUGACUACACCCAGCAGCCUUCUGUCACUGAAUUAGAAAUUCAGGUAGUCCAGUGCCUAAGUGUAGUGAGUUGCUUGCAAGUCACCGUGACGGUCUCAGGUCGGAGGGACAGUUAUACCCAUAUCCCAUCGGAGUAAAUCUUGACAGCAGAAAAAGCUCUGGAGUCGAUCACGUUCAGUGCAGAUGUACCCUUACAUCUCACCUGUAUGCCAUA